rnacentral:rRNA from 1 species
UUUGAUGGCGACCGGCGCACGGGUGAGUAACACGUAUCCAACCUGCCGAUGACUCGGGGAUAGCCUUUCGAAAGAAAGAUUAAUACCCGAUGGCAUAGUUCUUCCGCAUGGUAGAACUAUUAAAGAAUUUCGAUCAUCGAUGGGGAUGCGUUCCAUUAGGUUGUUGGCGGGGUAACGGCCCACCAAGCCUUCGAUGGAUAGGGGUUCUGAGAGGAAGGUCCCCCACAUUGGAACUGAGACACGGUCCAAACUCCUACGGGAGGCAGCAUG